rnacentral:tRNA from 3 species
GCUCGUGUGGUGUAGCUAGGUCCAUCAUAGUGGGUUUUCAUCCCGCCGACCCGGGUUCGAAUCCCGGCCCGAGCA